rnacentral:rRNA from 1 species
GACAAACGCUGGCGGCGCGCUUAACACAUGCAAGUCGAGCGAUGAAAUCUUAACAGAACCCUUCGGGGUGAAGAUAAGACGGAUUAGCGGCGGACGGGUGAGUAACACGUGAGUAACCUGCCUUUUACACAGGGAUAGCCUCAGGAAACCGGGAUUAAAACCUGAUGAAACUAUCAAAUCACAUGAUUAAGAAAGUUAAAACUCCGGUGGUAAAAGAUGGACUCGCGUCCCAUUAGCUAGUUGGUGAAGGUAACGGCCCACCAAGGCAACGAUGGGUAGCCGGCCUGAGAGGGUGAACGGCCACAUUGGAACUGAGAAACGGUCCAAACUCCUACGGGAGGCAGCAGUGGGGAAUAUUGCACAAUGGGGGAAACCCUGAUGCAGCGACGCCGCGUGAGCGAAGAAGGCCUUCGGGUCGUAAAGCUCUUUUAUAUGGGAAGAUAAUGACGGUACCAUAAGAAAAAGCCCCGGCUAACUACGUG